AUUUGGAGCCCAAACCUAGAAUUUCAAAUUUAACUUUGAAAUUGUUAACUUCAAAUCCUAAAUUUGUGGAGAUCAGAUCUCAACUUUAAUAACUAAAAUUCGGAAUUAAAAUUUAAAAUAUUCAGAUUUAAUUCAUAAACUUAAUAAGACAUGCAAACUAGGAUUUUGGCAUCAAUGGAUUUCAGGAAAGUGCAGAAAUUUCAGCAAGUGCAGAAUUUCAGCAUAAGCAAUGUGCGUGUCCUAAUUAACCUGGCUCUGAUACCAAAAAUGAUGCGGGAUGAAUGCGAGGGAUUUAAACAUAAGGAUUAUCAGUAAGUUAUGUUGAUUAACUAGCCUAAUAGCAGCAGAAAAUUCAGUCACAUAUGGGAUAAGAAAACAUUAACAUGAGCAUAGUAAUUUCAAGACUAG
rnacentral:lncRNA from 1 species